GUCUUAACCGGGCGUUAAGUUGCAGGGUAUAGACCCGAAACCCGGUGAUCUAGCCAUGGGCAGGUUGAAGGUUGGGUAACACUAACUGGAGGACCGAACCGACUAAUGUUGAAAAAUUAGCGGAUGACCUGUGGCUGGGGGUGAAAGGCCAAUCAAACCGGGAGAUAGCUGGUUCUCCCCGAAAGCUAUUUAGGUAGCGCCUCGUGAAUUCAUCUCCGGGGGUAGAGCACUGUUUCGGCUAGGGGGCCAUCCCGGCUUACCAACCCGAUGCAAACUGCGAAUACCGGAGAAUGUUAUCACGGGAGACACACGGCGGGUGCUAACGUCCGUCGUGAAGAGGGAAACAACCCAGACCGCCAGCUAAGGUCCCAAAGUCAUGGUUAAGUGGGAAACGAUGUGGGAAGGCCCAGACAGCCAGGAUGUUGGCUUAGAAGCAGCCAUCAUUUAAAGAAAGCGUAAUAGCUCACUGGUCGAGUCGGCCUGCGCGGAAGAUGUAACGGGGCUAAACCAUGCACCGAAGCUGCGGCAGCGACGCUGAUGCGUUGUUGGGUAGGGGAGCGUUCUGUAAGCCUGCGAAGGUGUGUCGUGAGGCAUGCUGGAGGUAUCAGAAGUGCGAAUGCUGACAUAAGUAACGAUAAAGCGGGUGAAAAGCCCGCUCGCCGGAAGACCAAGGGUUCCUGUCCAACGUUAAUCGGGGCAGGGUGAGUCGACCCCUAAGGCGAGGCCGAAAGGCGUAGUCGAUGGGAAACGGGUUAAUAUUCCCGUACUUGGUGUUACUGCGAAGGGGGGACGGAGAAGGCUAUGUUGGCCGGGCGACGGUUGUCCCGGUUUAAGCGUGUAGGUGUGUGUUCCAGGUAAAUCCGGUUCACUUUAACACUGAGGCGUGAUGACGAGGCACUACGGUGCUGAAGCAACAAAUGCCCUGCUUCCAGGAAAAGCCUCUAAGCAUCAGGUAACAUCAAAUCGUACCCCAAACCGACACAGGUGGUCAGGUAGAGAAUACCAAGGCGCUUGAGAGAACUCGGGUGAAGGAACUAGGCAAAAUGGUGCCGUAACUUCGGGAGAAGGCACGCUGACACGUAGGUGAAGUGAUUUACUCAUGGAGCUGAAGUCAGUCGAAGAUACCAGCUGGCUGCAACUGUUUAUUAAAAACACAGCACUGUGCAAACACGAAAGUGGACGUAUACGGUGUGACGCCUGCCCGGUGCCGGAAGGUUAAUUGAUGGGGUCAGCGCAAGCGAAGCUCCUGAUCGAAGCCCCGGUAAACGGCGGCCGUAACUAUAACGGUCCUAAGGUAGCGAAAUUCCUUGUCGGGUAAGUUCCGACCUGCACGAAUGGCGUAAUGAUGGCCAGGCUGUCUCCACCCGAGACUCAGUGAAAUUGAACUCGCUGUGAAGAUGCAGUGUACCCGCGGCAAGACGGAAAGACCCCGUGAACCUUUACUAUAGCUUGACACUGAACAUUGAGCCUUGAUGUGUAGGAUAGGUGGGAGGCUUUGAAGUGUGGACGCCAGUCUGCAUGGAGCCGGCCUUGAAAUACCACCCUUUAAUGUUUGAUGUUCUAACGUGGACCCGUGAUCCGGGUUGCGGACAGUGUCUGGUGGGUAGUUUGACUGGGGCGGUCUCCUCCUAAAGAGUAACGGAGGAGCACGAAGGUUGGCUAAUCCUGGUCGGACAUCAGGAGGUUAGUGCAAUGGCAUAAGCCAGCUUGACUGCGAGCGUGACGGCGCGAGCAGGUGCGAAAGCAGGUCAUAGUGAUCCGGUGGUUCUGAAUGGAAGGGCCAUCGCUCAACGGAUAAAAGGUACUCCGGGGAUAACAGGCUGAUACCGCCCAAGAGUUCAUAUCGACGGCGGUGUUUGGCACCUCGAUGUCGGCUCAUCACAUCCUGGGGCUGAAGUAGGUCCCAAGGGUAUGGCUGUUCGCCAUUUAAAGUGGUACGCGAGCUGGGUUUAGAACGUCGUGAGACAGUUCGGUCCCUAUCUGCCGUGGGCGCUGGAGAACUGAGGGGGGCUGCUCCUAGUACGAGAGGACCGGAGUGGACGCAUCACUGGUGUUCGGGUUGUCAUGCCAAUGGCACUGCCCGGUAGCUAAAUGCGGAAGAGAUAAGUGCUGAAAGCAUCUAAGCACGAAACUUGCCCCGAGAUGAGUUCUCCCUGAGACUUAGAGUCUCCUGAAGGAACGUUGAAGACGACGACGUUGAUAGGCCGGGUGUGUAAGCGCAGCGAUGCGUUGAGCUAACCGGUACUAAUGAACCGUGAGGCUUAACCUU
rnacentral:rRNA from 1 species